GUCCACGCUGUAAACGAUGGGUACUAGGUGUCGCGGGUAUUGACCCCUGCGGUGCCGAAGCUAACGCAUUAAGUACCCCGCCUGGGGACUACGGCCGCAAGGCUAAAACUCAAAGGAAUUGACGGGGCCCGCACAAGCGGUGGAGCAUGUGGUUCAAUUCGACGCAACGCGAAGAACCUUACCCGGGUUAGAAACCGUUAGAACUCUGAUGAAAAGUCGGAGGUGCCCGCAAGGGGAGCUAACGCCUCGGUGCUGCAUGGCUGUCGU
rnacentral:rRNA from 1 species